GGUAGUUAAAGCUUUAUUUAUUGCCAAAUCGCUUGUGAAAUUUUUCAGUCACUGUCAGUGCUUGUAGCAAACAAUACAAGUAUUUAAAUUUAUCUUGAGCCGGGCAUGAUGGCAGAUGCCCAUAACCCCAGCAUUCCAGAGGCUGAGGCAGGAGGAUCUCAUUGAGUUCCAGGCCAGCCUCACCUGCAUAGCAACACCCUGUCUUGAUCUUUUUUCUUUUCAGUACAGAAAAUCAAACUCAGGGCCUUGCGCUUGCCAGGCAGGCACUGCACUGCUGAGCUACAUCCCUGGCCCAGCAACACCCUGUUUUAAGAAAAGAAAGAAACAAAUGUGCAGAUGGGGACUUCCUUGUUGUUUGGGCUGUCCUAGGACUCCUGGACUUCAGUGAUCCUCCUGCCUCAUCCUCCUGGGUAGCUGGUACUACAGGCACAUGCCACCAUGUCCAGUUUUAUUCACUGGUUUUUUUUAAAGCAUAUUUAUCAUUUAGUAUAUUUACAUGUACCCAAUAUGUGGAAUUUUUUUUCCAAAUUCAUAACUCAUUUACAUUCUACCUAUUUGGAGUGUUUAUUUUUUGCAGUGCUGGGGAUGGAACCCAGAGUUUUAUGCAUGUCCCUUUUGGUUUCUUAAUCUUGCCUAUUUUCAAACAGAGCAAGAAUAGCCAGUGUUAAAAAACUAUCAGAACUAAUCCUAUACACAUAUAGGAUUAACAAAAACUGGAGUAACACAAUCUGUUUUGAAUAUUUUUAUUCUACUUCGUUGUUUGAAUGUUUGAGAGAAAAUUUAGAACCUCCAAAUAAUAUAGCUACAUAAUACAUACAAAGUCUGGCAUGCUUCCUGGGUAUGGUGGCGGACCAGGGAGCCUGAAUCAGGAAGACUGCCACAAAUUCAAGGCCAGCCUGGGCUACAUGGUGAGUUCAAGGCCAGCCUGAACUGCAUGGCGAGACCCUGUCUCAUCACCCCCAAAAAGAAAUUCUGGAAUCAACAAUUUUCAAAGAAAACCCUCUUGAAUUGCAAAAUAAUAUUAAUUUGUGGUUUUUGUUUCUAUUUUUAAAUUUUUGUACUGGGUAUUGAACUCAGGGCCUUCACAGUGAGCUACAUCCCCAACCCUUUUUGCUCUUUGUUCCUUUUUUUUUUUUUGAGACAGGUUUUAAGUUGCCCAGUUGGGACUUGAACUGGCAACCUUCCUUCUUCAGCCUCCCAGAGUGCCGUUAUGAUAGGCCUGCACCAUCCUGCCCAGCUCUCAACCUAUAAGAUGUUUACAGAUAACGUUUAAUGUGUUUCCUGGCUUGAUCUUGCUUUUUAAAGUAAUGCUGAGGGCUGGGGAUUUAGCUCGGCGGUUCCUGCGCCUGCCUCGCAAGCUCAAGGACCCGAGUUCGAUCCCCGGUACCAAAAACAAAACAAAAUAAGAACAAUAAAGUAAUCCUGAAUGCUUUAUUAAGGAAUUGUUUUUUCUCUUUUUGCAAUACUGGGGAUUAAACUCAGGGCCUUGCACCUUAGGCAAGUGCGCUACUACCGAGCUACCCCCCAGCCCUGUCUUGCUCAUUGCAGUGACUCCAAGGUAGCAGGGGAAGGUGGUGAAGUGAGUUUCUUUCAGAUGAAGAAACGAGGUUCAGAGCGAUGAGCCCAGAGUGCCCAGCAUCUCACGAGCCCCGCGGCAAAGAGCGCACAGCGGUGCUGUAGGCAGGCGCGGUGGUGCACACCUGUCCUCCCAGCAUGCUGCAGCGUCCGCAGGAGGACGGCAAAUUCAGGCCCAGUCUGGGCAUCUUGGCAAGACCGUGUCUCAAAAUAAAAAAUAGAACAAAGAAGGGAUGGGGAUAUAGCUCAGUGUGAAGGCAAGUUUAUGUUCCCAGUAGUGGGGGAAAAAAUGUGGUUAUGAAUUGCAGGCCAAAGGUUUGAUUUGGUAAUAUGAUUUGACUGAAUUUAACUCCUCAGCCAUUCUAAUCUGGGAGUCAUUAAUUUUGGCAAAGUCGUUGUGUUUAUCUUAGGGAUACUUAAGCUUCUUACUACCAGGAACAAUUUAGUGCACCCUUCUGUAGGAGUUCUCCCCUCAGUUAAACAGCAGACUCCUCCCCGGGAGGUGCUGUUACUAUGGAAACUGGGGACAGUAUUGUCUGAGAGGGCAGCCGUCGCUGAGGGCCGCUCUGCUUCGGGCAGAUCUACACACGCUUCAUUCCAACGUGUACAUCCUUCUGUGAAGACUCGACGGAUGAUGCAUCUAAUAAACCCUGGCCUCAUACCUAAUGCUCGCUUGGUUUUGGUUUUGACUUUAAAGGCAACAGUGAUAGACCUACAAAACAAAGGUCUGGAGGAAACAUCCGUGGUGAUGGUUUUGCGCCUUCAUGGGUUUGCCUGUUGUGUUUAUUUUACUAAUUAUGGGAAACUGAUAGACGAGAGACAUCAGAAUCACCAUUGGUUAUGAGAAAAUGAUGUAAUAAAA
rnacentral:lncRNA from 1 species